UAGACUAAAUAUACGAUUAGUUAAUAAUUUUUAUUUUUUGGUAAUAAAAUAAUAUUAAUGGGGGAGAAAAAGAUGAAGAAGGGUUUGACUUGGACAAGAAUGAGCCACACGCAUGUGACCAGCUUUUGGAGAUUGUGUUUUUUUUUUAAAUUAUUAUUAUUCUUCUCUCCCAAAGGAUCUUUUUGGACCAUAAAAUAAACAUCCCUCGCCCUCCUCUUUCUUCAUCUACCAAAUGUCGGCGAGAUGAAUAAUCUUCUUUUUAUUUUUAUUUAAUUAAAAAAAUUUCAGUGUACAUUAUUGUUUUUCUCAAAACUAUUUCUUAAUUAUAGAUUAAUAUUGGGCAGAGUAUGGCACGAUAACAUUGAUGUCUCAUUUGUUGCAUGACGUAUUUUGCUUUUACUAUCAUUUUUGUAGAGCUAGCAUCUCUUUCUUUAACCUUUUUCCAAUGCAACAAAUUAAUUGUUAUUAUUUAAAGUACGUCUUGUUAAGACUCUAACAAACUUCAUGGGUAAUAACAGAACCAUCAUGCAUACCGGUGGUGAAUAAGCUAAGAGAGAAGCUGAUUCUUUGAACCGGGGACUAUAUAUAUAAUAUAUGGCAUCUUCAUCCACACUUAGCUUGAUGAUCUGUUUCAAAUCCAAAAAUUUUUACCGACAGGAAUACACUGAAACAUUGACUGAGACUCAUCAUCGUAAAAGAUUGUAGAAUCAUUCACUUUGUGAGAGGGAAACUACAAGCAAAAGAAAGAAAAAGGUAUAAAAGAUAUUGAGAUAAAAGGUGUGUAUUCUAGUGUAGGAGAGAUCAUAUAACCUUUAUUCUUUUUGUUUUCCGAUUCUGUUUUCCCUUGUCUUUUGUAUUGUGAAGAAGCUCAUUCAUAAUGAGUUGGCCAUCUUCAUCAGAGGAGAUGCAUGAUACCUUAGAAAGAUUUUAAAGACGGUUCAGGGAAACAAUCAACAACACAUAUAUAUAUAUGUUAUUCCAAAAUGUUUAUUCCUUUUAUCCAGACAGCACCAAUGCAAAGAGGAUAUGUAGAUACCUCAACAUCUUCGAAUUGUGGGAUUCCUCGACGUGUUGAUCAAUUGCUCUUUCUUAAUUCCAAGUCCCACCUGAAGAUCACACCAGUACGUAGAUUGAUGACUACCUCUCAGUCAAGAUUAUGCUUUGAUUCCUUCUUAUCAGAUACAUAUGCAAAUUCCA
rnacentral:lncRNA from 1 species